AUUUCUAAAAUGCAUUUUUAUCUUACGCAAGGCAGUAUACCAUAUUUUAUACCGUGGCUCUGAUCCGAAAUCAGGGCAUUUUUGUUCGAACAAAUACCUAUAAUAACGAUGAAGAAGUGCGUGAUCCGCGGAGCAAACGACCUACGUCGGGUCGGGACUGAUAUGCGUGUGACUGUGCACAAGUUCCCGCUAAAAAAAGAAGUACAGAGAAAAGUGGAUGAGGGUGUGUGGCAUGACCAAUGAGCCAAGACCACAUGACCACUUAAACUUAACAAGAAGUGCGCACCAUGAUAAGCACAGUCAAAAACGUUUGCGUCUAAAGAACAGUGCUGUGCCGGAUCAGAAUAUUCCGUAUACGCCUUGGGUUGCUGUCGCUGCUCGGUCACCCACAGAUGAAAGUGAUCAAGAAAUGGACAUCACUCAGGUGUGGGAUCACUCGUGGAAGUUCACGGCGGAUACGGAGCCGUGCAUGCAGCUCUGGUUCGAUCCUGCUCAGGGAAGCCCCAAUGACGCCGUGGCGCGCAUCUGGGAUGAGGUGGAACAGGUGGAGCUGGCGGUCACCUGCGCGGGCUCGGCGGCCUGUAAGCCGUGCCGAGACGAACCGCGACACUCUUGCUAGAUCUGCACCCCAUUGUAAUCUUCUGUAGUCGAUAUUCGGUAGGUACUCAAUGCUCAUUUUUCUGAUAUUAGACGAGUGGCGGGUUUUGAUGUUACAUUGGAGACUGCUGUCUCGGGUGGCCCGACAGUGUUCGAUUGUGGUGUAAUGUAGAUACAUAGACGGGAUGCCGCGGCUCGGAUUCGUAGCUGGACUACCAUGUGCCUGUCGAUUGAGAUGCUUUGCCUGGCGAUUGAGAUGAUUCGGGGCGCGGCCCCACACUGACGCCAUGGUGCAAUGAGUGACUGGCGACAACUAAGCAAUUAUGUACUUUUGUAGAACACAUGUUUUCAUGGAUACGAGAGGCAGUCCUUUUUUCGCUAGCAGUCACGAUACUUUCGAUACCGACAAAUAUGUUCGGGCGGCCGGUCCGUCCACAGCUAAUGCGUGCUUGCCCGCCGAUGCCUAACGGAGCGCUGUGCUGUCUACGCUCACUGGUCGCUGGCCCGAGAGCCGUUCGGUUGCUGCUGUUAAAACAGUUCUCACAAAAACACGCUGGCUGGCUGCCAGUUCUUCACCAAUGAGAGGCCCAGUAGCAUCAGCAGGUAGCAUUGUUUAAUAUUACUAUUCCAUUUUGUUUACCCAUAUGUCCGACCUAGAGCCGACUGGUAAAAAGCGGCAACCGAGCAGCCCUCCGCAGCGCUGCAGAUCAUGUACGCUCGAUUAUACACAAUAUAUGUGUCUUUCUUGCACACAGAGACAUGA